GGGCCUGUAGCUCAAUGGCAGAGCAUUCGGCUUAUAUCCGAACGGUUGAGGGUUCGACCCCUUCCAGGCCCA
rfam:Candidatus Blackburnbacteria bacterium RIFCSPHIGHO2_01_FTLL_43_15b rifcsphigho2_01_scaffold_2074, whole genome shotgun sequence.